CAGCAGCCGCGGUAAUACCAGCACCUCAAGUGGUCAGGAGGAUUAUUGGGCCUAAAGCAUCCGUAGCCUGUUCUAUAAGUUUCCCGUUAAAUCCAUUAGCUCAACUAAUGGGCUGCCGGAAAUACUGUAAAACUAGGAAGUGGGAGAGGUAGACGGUACUCGGUAGGAAGGGGUAAAAUCCUUUGAUCUAUUGAUGACCACCUGUGGCGAAGGCGGUCUACCAGAACACGUUCGACGGUGAGGGAUGAAAGCUGGGGGAGCAAACCGGAUUAGAUACCCGGGUAGUCCCAGCUGUAAACGAUGCAGACUCGGUGAUGCCCUGGCUUGUGGCCAGUGCAGUGCCGCAGGGAAGCCGUUAAGUUUGCCGCCUGGGAAGUACGUACGCAAGUAUGAAACUUAAAGGAAUUGGCGGGGGAGCACCACAAGGGGUGAAGCCUGCGGUUCAAUUGGAGUCAACGCCAGAAAUCUUACCCGAAGAGACAGCAGAAUGAAGGUCAAGCUGGAGACUUUACCAGACAAGCUGAGAAGUGGUGCAUGGCCGUCGUCAGCUCGUGCCGUGAGAUGUCCUGUUAAGUCAGGUAACGAGCGAGAUCCCUGCCUCUAGUUGCCACCAUUACUCUCAGGAGUAGUGGGGCGAAUUAGCGGGACCGCCGCAGUUAAUGCGGAGGAAGGAAGGGGCCACGGCAGGUCAGUAUGCCCUGAAACUUUGGGGCCACACGCGGGCUGCAAUGGUAGUGACAAUGGGUUCCGAAUCCGAAAGGUGGAGGUAAUCCUCAAACGCUACCACAGUUAUGAUUGAGGGCUGCAACUCGUCCUCAUGAAUAUGGAAUCCCUAGUAACUGCGUGUCAUUACCGCGCAGUGAAUACGUCCCUGCUCCUUGCACACACCGCCCGU
rnacentral:rRNA from 1 species